AGCGAACGCUGGCGGCAGGCCUAACACAUGCAAGUCGAGCGCCGUAGCAAUACGGAGCGGCAGACGGGAGAGUAACACGUGGGAACGUACCCUUUGGUUCGGAACAACCCAGGGAAACUUGGGCUAAUACCGGAUAAGCCCUCACGGGGAAAGAUUUAUCGCCGAAGGAUCGGCCCGCGUCUGAUUAGCUAGUUGGUGGGUAACGGCCCACCAAGGCGACGAUCAGUAGCUGGUCUGAGAGGAUGAUCAGCCUCACUGGGACUGAGACACGGCCCAGACUCCUACGGGAGGCAGCAGUGGGGAAUAUUGGACAAUGGGCGCAAGCCUGAUCCAGCCAUGCCGCGUGGGUGAUGAAGGCCCUAGGGUUGUAAAGCCCUUUCGGCGGGGAAGAUAAUGACGGUACCCGCAGAAGAAGCCCCGGCUAACUUCGUGCCAGCCGCCGCAGUAA
rnacentral:rRNA from 1 species